AUUUACAUAUUAUUUUUGUUUUUAUAUUUAUUUAUUAUAUUUAAAAUAAUUUUUUUCUUAGUAAUUUUUACUGAAUAGUUUUUUUACAUUAUAGUUAAUUGUACUGUGAGGGGUUUAUUAUAAUUUUAUUUAAGCAUGUAUUUUUUGCAGUACCUUUUGUAUCAGGGUUUAUUAAAUAUUUAUUAUUGAAAUAUAAUGUUCCCGAAGUAAAGUGAGAUAUAAAUAUAUGAUUUUUUAUGUUAUAAAAUAAUAUUUAAUUUAUUUAUAGGGGUUAUAUGCUAUUCAAACUUUAAUAUCUGGUUUUUUAAUAAAUGAAUUUAAUUCAUAAUUAUUAAAGCUAAUUUAUACUUUUAUUUUACUUAGUUUAAUAAUUUAAUAAUAUUUGGGAUUAGCUGAAUAUUAUUUUUAUAAUUACUUUUAAGUUUAAUGUUUAUAGGCUUGAUAACGGCCAUUCUUAUUUCGUUUUAGUUAACAUUAAAAUUGUAUUUAUUUUUUAUUAUUUAAAUUUUUAUUAAAAUGAUUAUUUAAAUUUUAUUUUUAUUGUAAUAAUGAUAAAAUUAGUAGUUUUUAUUUUUUAAGUAUAGUAACUCGGCAAAUUUGAUCUUCGCCUGUUUAACAAAAACAUGUUCUAUAGAUAUUUUAUUUUAGAUCUGGCCUGCUCAAUGAAUAUAAUUUUAAUAGCCGCAGUAUAUUAACUGUGCAAAGGUAGCAUAAUCAUUUGUUUUUUAAUUGGGAACUUGUAUGAAUGGUCGGACGAAGGAUCAUCUUUCUUUACUUAAUUUUUAUGAAUUUGAUUUUUUAGUUAAAAAGCUAAAAUUUAAUUGUUAGACGAGAAGACCCUAUAGAAUUUUAUUAUUAGGUUUAUACUGGUGAAUUAGUUUAUUUUUAUUUUUAUUUUUUAAUAAUUUUGUUGGGGUGACAGUGAAAUUUUCUUAACUUUCAUUUAUUAUCUUUCAUUGAUUUAUGUAUAAUUGAUCCUUUAUUAUGGAUUAAAAGAUUAAAUUACCUUAGGGAUAACAGCGUAAUUUUUUUGGAGAGUUCAUAUCGAUGAAAAAGUUUGCGACCUCGAUGUUGGAUUAGAAAUAGUAUUAGGUGUAGGUGCUUAAUUUUUAGAUCUGUUCGAUCUUUAAAUUUCUACAUGAUCUGAGUUCAGACCGGCGUGAGCCAGGUUGGUUUCUAUCUACAAUAUGUUUUUAUGGCUUAGUACGAAAGGACCAGUCAUUUAUAAUAAUUAUUUAUUUUUGAAUAAUA
rnacentral:rRNA from 1 species